GGCUCGCUGGGCGAACUUGGCGGUGAGCGGCUUGUCUUCCUUGGAGUAUAUGGCGGGGUUCCGGGCCUUGACGCUGGAGCUUGGGAACAGUCUCUGGGUGUUCCACCAGUUGGCCAGCCACGGGAGGUGGUGGGCGACCCAGACGGCGGCUCGGUCCUGCGGGAACUGCACGUACCACGCCUCCUGGUACACGUCCGGCGGCAGGCCGGACCACCAGUAGUUGCCUACCGGCGCGAGAAUGGCCACGCCGGCGAGCCUGCGCCGGCCGAUUCCAUGGUUAAGACGUCACAGGUUGCAAUGGGGAAGAAGAUGAGAUUCCACCGCUUAUAUUACCUGUGCGGGAUGUGCUUGAGGCAGCUCCACAUGAUCUCGCCGCCCAUGGAGAAGCCCAUGAGGUGGAACUUGGGCUCCAGCUGCAGGUUGUCGGCCAGCUCCGCGAUGUCGACGGCGAUGCUCUCCUCCGUCCGCGCCGGGUGCGCGUCGCUCUCGCAGUACCCCGGCCGGUCGAAGGACAGCA
rnacentral:lncRNA from 1 species